rnacentral:rRNA from 1 species
UCGUGAAUUCAUCUCCGGGGGUAGAGCACUGUUUCGGCUAGGGGGCCAUCCCGGCUUACCAACCCGAUGCAAACUGCGAAUACCGGAGAAUGUUAUCACGGGAGACACACGGCGGGUGCUAACGUCCGUCGUGAAGAGGGAAACAACCCAGACCGCCAGCUAAGGUCCCAAAGUCAUGGUUAAGUGGGAAACGAUGUGGGAAGGCCCAGACAGCCAGGAUGUUGGCUUAGAAGCAGCCAUCAUUUAAAGAAAGCGUAAUAGCUCACUGGUCGAGUCGGCCUGCGCGGAAGAUGUAACGGGGCUAAACCAUGCACCGAAGCUGCGGCAGCGACACUCAGGUGUUGUUGGGUAGGGGAGCGUUCUGUAAGCCUGUGAAGGUGGCCUGUGAGGGUUGCUGGAGGUAUCAGAAGUGCGAAUGCUGACAUAAGUAACGAUAAAGCGGGUGAAAAGCCCGCUCGCCGGAAGACCAAGGGUUCCUGUCCAACGUUAAUCGGGGCAGGGUGAGUCGACCCCUAAGGCGAGGCCGAAAGGCGUAGUCGAUGGGAAACGGGUUAAUAUUCCCGUACUUGGUGUUACUGCGAAGGGGGGACGGAGAAGGCUAUGUUGGCCGGGCGACGGUUGUCCCGGUUUAAGCGUGUAGGUGUGUGUUCCAGGUAAAUCCGGUUCACUUUAACACUGAGGCGUGAUGACGAGGCACUACGGUGCUGAAGCAACAAAUGCCCUGCUUCCAGGAAAAGCCUCUAAGCAUCAGGUAACAUCAAAUCGUACCCCAAACCGACACAGGUGGUCAGGUAGAGAAUACCAAGGCGCUUGAGAGAACUCGGGUGAAGGAACUAGGCAAAAUGGUGCCGUAACUUCGGGAGAAGGCACGCUGACAUGUAGGUGAAGUGAUUUACUCAUGGAGCUGAAGUCAGUCGAAGAUACCAGCUGGCUGCAACUGUUUAUUAAAAACACAGCACUGUGCAAACACGAAAGUGGACGUAUACGGUGUGACGCCUGCCCGGUGCCGGAAGGUUAAUUGAUGGGGUCAGCGCAAGCGAAGCUCCUGAUCGAAGCCCCGGUAAACGGCGGCCGUAACUAUAACGGUCCUAAGGUAGCGAAAUUCCUUGUCGGGUAAGUUCCGACCUGCACGAAUGGCGUAAUGAUGGCCAGGCUGUCUCCACCCGAGACUCAGUGAAAUUGAACUCGCUGUGAAGAUGCAGUGUACCCGCGGCAAGACGGAAAGACCCCGUGAACCUUUACUAUAGCUUGACACUGAACAUUGAGCCUUGAUGUGUAG